rnacentral:rRNA from 1 species
UUCGCAAUGCCCGAAAGGGUGACGAAGCGACGCCGCGUGGGUGAGGAAGGCCUUCGGGUUGUAAAGCCCUGUCAGGAGUUAAGAAAUGUAAGUGCGCUAAUAUCGCAUUUAUUUGACGAAGGCUCCAAAGGAAGCCACGGCUAACUCUGUGCCAGCAGCCGCGGUAAUACAGAGGUGGCGAGCGUUGUUCGGAAUUAUUGGGCGUAAAGAGCACGUAGGUGGGUUUGUAAGUCAGACGUGAAAGCCUUCUGUUCAACGGAAGAAUUGCAUCUGAAACUGCGAAUCUUGAGUGUAGGAGGGGAGAAUGGAACUUCUGGUGGAGCGGUGAAAUGCGUAGAUAUCAGAAGGAACGCCGGCGGCGAAAGCGAUUCUCUGGCCUAUUACUGACACUCAGUGUGCGAAAGCUAGGGGAGCAAACGGGAUUAGAUACCCCGGUAGUCCUAACCGUAAACGAUGGGCACUAAGUAGAGGGGUUUU